rnacentral:misc_RNA from 1 species
AUCGCGCCAGCCAACCCUUUUCCUGACCUUAGGCUUGGCGACAAACAUCCCAAGCAGCAAGAAUGGCGACAGCUGGCUGUGAAACUGCAUGGGAAAGGAGUAGAAUGCGCGUGAGUUUCAAGUUGUGAUUUCCCUCUUCUCUAGCGAUGUUCCGACCAAGGGAAUGUUGCAACCGCUUCAGCAACUCGUGGGCUUCAUUCCUUGACCAGCCAUGCCCCAAACCGACGCCCAGAGAGAGAGAUCCGAGGAGAGAGAAACUCAUGGAUUUCACCACUUGCCGACGAGAUUCUGGCAAACCUGACCGUCAGAUCGGUGAUCUGAGGGUAUCGAUAAACUUGGUGCAUGAACUUUCGAGAUGGGACCAACCUCACUCUGAUUGGGUACCAUUUGAAAAAG